CAGCCCCCAGGGAUGCUCUCCUGAGGGCCACACUGGCCAGCAGGACCCCCUGGGAGGUGGGACCCCAGCCCUAAGGCAGAGCACCUGUGGCAGGAUGGGCUCUGGGGGGAGACGGGGCACGGAGCACCCCAAAAUGCCCCAUCCUGGCCACUCCAGUGGCUCCCUGUGCAGGGAGGGGCAGGUCAGACAUGAGCCAGCUCUCUGGGAGCUUGAAGGGCUUUGGUAGGCACAGGUUUUCCCUCCAGAAGGGUUUUUUCCUAAAGCUGCUGGGAAGGGAGGUGGAGAGCAGCUCGGGGAUGCAGCCACAUCCACAGCCUGCUUCAGGCUCCUGGAUGCUGGGAAGCUGCAUCAGGAGGGAGAGGCAGAUUUUUAAGGCUUAGUCCCAUUUGCAUGCCAGGUGGAUGCAGACAGCAUCCUUCCUACCCGAGCAGGGAGCUCCACUGUUCCUCCCACUGGAACACUGGAGUUCCUGUUUCCCUCACCUCCACCUGGGCACUGUGUGGAGAGGGAGUGUUAGUGCUGGUUUGGAGAGAAAAUUGUGGAUUUUAGCAAACAACGUCCAUAAAAGCAUUUUAGAAAUGUGUUCCCAUUGCACAUGGGCCAAAGCUUUAAAUCAGGAAAAUGGGAAGAAAUUAUAUCUUUACUGAAAGAUGCAAGUGAAGUAAUGAGAUUUUGCCUGAAGGUUUCUAGGCCUCGAAAGGCAACAGUGAGCUGUGCAGAAAAUCUCCUUGAGCAGUGAUUUAGGGGAAGGAAAAAGGAAAAACCCAGGAAUUUCCUCAUGUUGCCACUUGCUCUGGCAGUUUCCCAGGGAUGGGUGUUGGCACCCUGAUCCCAAAAUGCAUCAACCUACUCGUGGUUGGGGGCUUUGGAGGAGAAGGGGCCGUUCUGGCUGGCAUAGCCAUUAGGGAUGGGCUUUCUCCCUGCAGGAGGGCCCAGCAGAGCAGCUGGCUCAGAGACCCCGGCGAGGAGUUGGCAGCGGAGACCCCCCGGUGCUCGAUGCCCUCAGGAGGGGGAAAAACCAAAAAAACCCCAUUUUUGCUCAUGAACUUCACGCCCUGACUCCCAAGUUCACACUUCUGCCUGGAAGCUGAGAGGCUGGAAACCACAGAAUGCAAGAG
rnacentral:lncRNA from 1 species